AAUCAACGCUGGCGGCGUGCCUCAGACAUGCAAGUCGAACGAUUAAAGCUCUCUUCGGAGAGUGUAUAGAGUGGCGCACGGGUGAGUAACACGUAAGUAAUCUACCCUCGAGUGGGGGAAUAACAACCGGAAACGGUUGCUAAUACCGCAUAAUGCAGCGGCACCGCAAGGUGACAGUUGUUAAAGAUUUAUCGCUUGAGGAGGAGCUUGCGGCAGAUUAGCUAGUUGGUAGGGUAACGGCUUACCAAGGCUACGAUCUGUAACCGGUCUAAGAGGACGGUCGGUCACACUGACACUGAAUAACGGGUCAGACUCCUACGGGAGGCAGCAGUCGGGAAUUUUGGGCAAUGGGCGAAAGCCUGACCCAGCAACGCCGCGUGAAGGAUGAAGUAUUUCGGUAUGUAAACUUCGAAAGAAUAGGAAGAAUUAAUGACGGUACUAUUUAUAAGGUCCGGCUAACUACGUG
rnacentral:rRNA from 1 species